UCUCUCUAAUUUAAUCAAGUUCAUUUCAGUUUUAGAGGACUGAUUCACUUCUCUAUGUGUCAUCACUAAUAACAUGCUCUUUUCCCUUUUCUUAAAUGCCUUUCGCUUUAGUUGGCAUGGGUAUGGGUACGUGGGUACAUGUAUGGGUAUGGGUGUGGGUACAUGGGUAUAUGGGUAUGGGUAUCAACAACAAUGGUUAUUGGCCUUUAGUUUGUGAUUAGAUGAACACUCAACCAGUUUGGAAAAGCCAGGCAGUUCAAAACAAGUUUGUUGGAAAUUAAUACCUCAGAAUUAGUUUCAGACUUUCAGGUUUUAUAUCAGGUUUAAGUUCAUUGCUUAUUGUCUUAGUAAGGGUUGGAACACAGAUUUUCAAAAUCGUAUCUGCACCAAGCUGGCGGUUUUUGGAUAGAAGCUUUUCGAUACCUACAGUAUAGGUGUCCCUAAGGUGGUAGUGUUGUCACAACCACCGGAAAAAGUUUUAAAUAAGAAAAGUAAAAAAAAAAAAUAGCAUGGUGGUCUUUUGGUCUAAUGCAGCAAUUUUCAGGGUUGAUCCAAUCUAACUGGGUUGAGUAGACCAUGCUGGUCUAGCAUGCUUGAGUUAAAAGCCCACUUUAAAGUUUAAACGUUUGUAAAACCCUUCUCCAUUUCACAGAAGAGAGGAGAGAUUUGCCACCGCUGCCACUGCUAGUCCAUCUUGCCAUUGUUGGAGUUGCAUCUGCCACUGCUUUGUUCCUAGAUAUUCUCUUUCUUGCUUGGUUUCCUGUACACUUUGUUGUAACUUGUAAGUUCUCGGCUUCAGCCAAUUGAUCCUUUACAAGUUUGUCUACAUUGCUCAUUUUUCUUGGAUGUAAAAGAGCCAAUACCCCCUGUUUCUUUGUUUAACAAUGCUUUCAUGUUUCUCUGAUUGGAUAUGAUCAAUUUUAGUUAAUUUCUUUUGUUCUUCGAUCUUUCAAACCUUGGAAUUUCCUGGCUUUCGCAAGAGGCAUUUGUUUAUAGAUCUUUCAACUAGAUCUGUAAAGCUUCAAGUGACUUCUCUUUUGUAGCAUUCUUUUAAAAGCAAUUUGGAAAUCCACAGUCUAAAUGAUACAUACCUCAGAGUCCAGGUUUACAAUCCCAACUGCACCAGCCAACACAAAGAUGUUAUCACUGCCUCACGUUGAUUGCAGCUUGAGAACCUUGGCUGGACAGGUGGAGGGUUUUAGCUGAUUUACCAUUGAUGGUCAUUACAGACCACUUUAUCACAUAACUACUUUAGCAGAAAAAUAUGCAAGGUUCUGUUUGUAGCUGUUCGGCGAUGUGAACGAAUCUCUUAUUGUUUAAAUCUGGCUUGCUCCAUCUUUCCCAAGUGGACAAUGAAGUAUGCGGAUCCUAGAAUCUCUUUUCUUUUUUCAAAAGGUAAGAAAGAUGCCAGUGAUUGAAGAAUAAAUAGAUGAAGAGGGGAUAGAUAGUAAAAGGCUGAAAGCUGCAGAACUGGCAAAACAAAGUCUGUGGCUCACAGCAGCAGAUCACAUGUGAAGGAACACUGCAACGUACAGGGUUGGUACUUGAAGGGGUAGCAAAUCUUUCUGGCACUACACCAACCUCUCAUAAAGGGACGGGUUGCUAAAUAAUGUUGCAGUAUUUCAUGGUAUAAUGACAUUGAGAAGGAAAUGGCAGCAGGCUUGCAGACAUGCCAUUGACGUCCUUUUCAGGAUGCAGAUUCUCCAUAUAACAAUAAUAGAAGUGUGUUUGGUCAUCAAAAUUUACAACCAACAAACUGGUUCUUGGCAGGACUAGAUCUUUUAGGCAAGUUGUCGAACUCAUGUUCUCUAGUGGUCCUAAUGGAACCCGGCCACUCAUGAAAAUCAAAUUGUUGGGUCCCUCUUAUAUUAUUGUAUGUCUUCUGGACCAAUUUUCAAAUGAUCCACCUCAGAAUGCACUUUGCUGAACUUGUUUUUUCUCAUCUUUUUUGGUGGGUAAGGUGGGAUUGAACCGUGACCUCACAACUGUAGUGUAAUGUCAAACGCCAAGUACAUAUUCUUUUAAGAAAGGUGAUCUUGACAACAUCA